rnacentral:lncRNA from 1 species
CUCUGGGAGAGAGGAAAGAGGACACCCUCAGAUCUGAAGGCCUCCUGUGGGUGUACAGCGCUGAGCCGAGGCGAGGCCCGCCGGAGGGAGGCUCCGUUUACAGGAGGGAGAGCUGAGGCCUGGAGCCCAGAAUCCAGUUCCCAGCCGGUGUACAGCUCGUAGGUGGAGGAGCUGAGAUUUGAACCCCAGUGUUUCUGACUCCGGUUCUGCCCUCUAGUCGUCGGAUGGAGUAUCUUUCUAGAGGCAGUGCCGGGAAGUCAAGGAUGCACAAGUAGUGGGGGGCCCCCUCACCCCUUCUAUUUUGAGUAUCCAGCACUUAUUACAUGCCCAGCUCUGUGCUGAACACUUUGCACACCUCCGUGGAGUCUUGGCAAAUCCCCAGCGAGGAAGCUGUGUGGCGUUAUUCCACUUCUGCAGUUGUGGAGACGAGGCUGAGAGAAGUUAAGUGACCUGUCCGAGGUCACCCAGUAAGUAGGUGUCAGGGCCAAGGAGGGAACUUGAGCACGCCUGCUGCCAGGGCACGUGUUGCUAUGGUUACGGCCCUUGCCUCUGGUCCAGAGGCUCCAAAAAGGGAGGGCGCAUGGGUCCCAGGCCCCCUCCAUUCUUCCCAGCCUCUGCUCCCUCCUGACCCACAAGGUGUGUACACACCCAGCUCUGUCCCCUACCUUCAGGAAGGCAGCCCCCGGGCCUUGGGCAGAGGCCCCACACAGGCCCUGGAAGCAGGCAUAAGGCUGUUUGGACAAGGAAUUCUGGGAUCGUGGACACCCAGAGUGUGGUCUGGGAGAGGAGAGCGUGGGGGCCCCAUCAUCUCAGUGAAGCCUGGAAUCCGUGGCACAGGGAGAGGCUUCGUGUCCAUCCAGCGCCCCCAGCAGCCCUGCCUGGGGACCCAUUUUACAGGUCAAGAAACUGAAGGUCGGAAUUAAGUACCUGGCCCCGGUCUGGUGAACGGAAAGUCAUUCUGGUCUCACAGUGAGUUAGCCCCUGCCCACCCAACAGCCCUCAUCUCUUCUAAUUCUCUCAGCCAUCUUCCAGGUGAGAAAACAGAUCCAAAGAGAUUCGGCGACUUACCCAUGAUCAUGUGAGCACAGCCAGGACCCCACCCACCCGGCCCCCCCCAG